UACAGAGGGUGCGAGCGUUGUUCGGAAUUAUUGGGCGUAAAGGGCGCGUAGGCGGCGUGACAAGUCACUUGUGAAAUCUCCGGGCUUAACUCGGAACGGCCAAGUGAAACUGUCAUGCUAGAGUGCAGAAGGGGCAAUCGGAAUUCUUGGUGUAGCGGUGAAAUGCGUAGAUAUCAAGAGGAACACCUGAGGUGAAGACGGGUUGCUGGGCUGACACUGACGCUGAGGCGCGAAAGCCAGGGGAGCAAACGGG
rnacentral:rRNA from 1 species